UACGAAGGGGGCUAGCGUUGCUCGGAAUCACUGGGCGUAAAGCGCACGUAGGCGGAUUGCUAAGUCAGGGGUGAAAUCCUGGAGCUCAACUCCAGAACUGCCUUUGAUACUGGCGAGCUUGAGUUCGGGAGAGGUGAGUGGAACUGCGAGUGUAGAGGUGAAAUUCGUAGAUAUUCGCAAGAACACCAGUGGCGAAGGCGGCUCACUGGCCCGAUACUGACGCUGAGGUGCGAAAGCGUGGGGGAGCAAACAGG
rnacentral:rRNA from 1 species